rnacentral:rRNA from 1 species
UACGAGGGGUGCAAGCGUUGCUCGGAAUUAUUGGGCGUAAAGAGCUCGUAGGCGGUUUGUCGCGUCUGCCGUGAAAGUCCGGGGCUCAACUCCGGAUCUGCGGUGGGUACGGGCAGACUAGAGUGAUGUAGGGGAGACUGGAAUUCCUGGUGUAGCGGUGAAAUGCGCAGAUAUCAGGAGGAACACCGAUGGCGAAGGCAGGUCUCUGGGCAUUAACUGACGCUGAGGAGCGAAAGCAUGGGGAGCGAACAGG